rnacentral:rRNA from 1 species
GACGAACGCUGGCGGCGUGCUUAACACAUGCAAGUCGAACGGAAAGGCCCUGUUCUUGUGGGGUGCUCGAGUGGCGAACGGGUGUGUAACACGUGAGUAACCUGCCCUUGACGUUGUGAUAACUUCAGGAAACGGUGGCUAAUACCGGAUAGGAGCUCCUGCUGCAUGGUGGGGGUUGGAAAGCGUAGGGGGGUGGAGAUCGACUCGCGGCUUAUCAGCUUGUUGGUGGAGGAGUGGCUUACCAAGGCUUCGAUGGGUAGUCGGCCUGAGAGGUGGACCACGGACCUGGGGACUGAGAUACGGCGCAGUCGGCUACGGGGGGCAGUGGGGGGGAGUAUUGCACAGCAAGGGGGAGCGUGAUGCGAAGGCGUUCGGUGCGGAAAGACGGCUUGGGGGUUAUGAAAAGGUUUGGGCUGAGACGAAGGGUGGGUGACGGUAAUGGGUGAAGAAGCACCGGCUAACUACGUG